AAGUCGAACGAACUCUGGUAUUGAUUGGUGCUUGCAUCAUGAUUUACAUUUGAGUGAGUGGCGAACUGGUGAGUAACACGUGGGAAACCUGCCCAGAAGCGGGGGAUAACACCUGGAAACAGAUGCUAAUACCGCAUAACAACUUGGACCGCAUGGUCCGAGUUUGAAAGAUGGCUUCGGCUAUCACUUUUGGAUGGUCCCGCGGCGUAUUAGCUAGAUGGUGAGGUAACGGCUCACCAUGGCAAUGAUACGUAGCCGACCUGAGAGGGUAAUCGGCCACAUUGGGACUGAGACACGGCCCAAACUCCUACGGGAGGCAGCAGUAGGGAAUCUUCCACAAUGGACGAAAGUCUGAUGGAGCAACGCCGCGUGAGUGAAGAAGGGUUUCGGCUCGUAAAACUCUGUUGUUGAAGAAGAACAUAUCUGAGAGUAACUGUUCAGGUAUUGACGGUAUUUAACCAGAAAGCCACGGCUAACUACGUGCCAGCAGCCGCGGUAAUACGUAGGUGGCAAGCGUUGUCCGGAUUUAUUGGGCGUAAAGCGAGCGCAGGCGGUUUUUUAAGUCUGAUGUGAAAGCCUUCGGCUCAACCGAAGAAGUGCAUCGGAAACUGGGAAACUUGAGUGCAGAAGAGGACAGUGGAACUCCAUGUGUAGCGGUGAAAUGCGUAGAUAUAUGGAAGAACACCAGUGGCGAAGGCGGCUGUCUGGUCUGUAACUGACGCUGAGGCUCGAAAGUAUGGGUAGCAAACAGGAUUAGAUACCCUGGUAGUCCAUACCGUAAACGAUGAAUGCUAAGUGUUGGAGGGUUUCCGCCCUUCAGUGCUGCAGCUAACGCAUUAAGCAUUCCGCCUGGGGAGUACGGCCGCAAGGCUGAAACUCAAAGGAAUUGACGGGGGCCCGCACAAGCGGUGGAGCAUGUGGUUUAAUUCGAAGCUACGCGAAGAACCUUACCAGGUCUUGACAUACUAUGCAAAUCUAAGAGAUUAGACGUUCCCUUCGGGGACAUGGAUACAGGUGGUGCAUGGUUGUCGUCAGCUCGUGUCGUGAGAUGUUGGGUUAAGUCCCGCAACGAGCGCAACCCUUAUUAUCAGUUGCCAGCAUUAAGUUGGGCACUCUGGUGAGACUGCCGGUGACAAACCGGAGGAAGGUGGGGAUGACGUCAAAUCAUCAUGCCCCUUAUGACCUGGGCUACACACGUGCUACAAUGGAUGGUACAACGAGUUGCGAACUCGCGAGAGUAAGCUAAUCUCUUAAAGCCAUUCUCAGUUCGGAUUGUAGGCUGCAACUCGCCUACAUGAAGUCGGAAUCGCUAGUAAUCGCGGAUCAGCAUGCCGCGGUGAAUACGUUCCCGGGCCUUGUACACACCGCCCGUCACACCAUGAGAGUUUGUAACACCCAAAGUCGGUGG
rnacentral:rRNA from 2 species